rnacentral:rRNA from 1 species
GAUGAACGCUGGCGGCGUGCCUAAUACAUGCAAGUCGAGCGAACAGACGAGGAGCUUGCUCCUCUGACGUUAGCGGCGGACGGGUGAGUAACACGUGGAUAACCUACCUAUAAGACUGGGAUAACUUCGGGAAACCGGAGCUUACAGCGUAUAAGAUAUUGAACCGCAUGGUUCAAUAGUGAAAGACGGUUUUGCUGUCACUUAUAGAUGGAUACGCGCCGCAUUAGCUAGUUGGUAAGGUAACGGCUUACCAAGGCAACGAUGCGUAGCCGACCUGAGAGGGUGAUCGGCCACACUGGAACUGAGACACGCUCCAGACUCCUACGGGAGGCAGCAGUAGGGAAUCUUCCGCAGUGGGCGAAAGCCUGACGGAGCAACGCCGCGUGAGUGAUGACGGUCUUCGGAUCGUAAAACUCUGUUAUGAGGGAAGAACAAAUGUGUAAGUAACUAUGCACGUCUUGACGGUACCUAAUCAGAAAGCCACGGCUAACUACGUG